CCGCUCCCCCGCCGAGGCCGCCGCCGCCGCCGCCGCCAGGCUGUGCCCGCCCCGCCCGCCGCGUCACGGGCCGCGGGGACCGGCCGGGGCGGAGCGCGGCGGCGCCGCGCCCGGAGCCGCCCCUGGGCUGGGGCCGAGGGGCGAAGCGCGGGGCGGCGGCUCCCAGCGCGCCAACGCUUUUCCCACUGGGGAGCCGCAGACCCCCUCCCCGGACAGCACCGGCCCGGCCGCGCCCCCCACGCAUGUCACACGCCGCUCUGCGGGGGGGGUCAAACCCACCCGGGGGCAGCUUCUCCGCCCGAGACCUAAGGCCUGGCAAAGGAUGGCAGCGAAGCUUCAGCUGCCCAUAGGGGCUGCACACGACGGACGAGAUCUUUAUGCGUGACACACCGGCACGAACGGCAUCGGGUACCAAGAGCAUGGAUGAAACCCAGUGCCUCAACACAAGCUGCAGAUCAUGGGGUCCAGAACAGCCCCCGAGGACUUGUCAGCCAGGAAGAAGGAAUGGCCAAACCGAUAUUGCAGGAAGAUUUCUGGUAUUAGGGUAGGGAUGCAUUUUUUUCAUCACUGGAGCAACACUUCAGCCAAAGCCUAACAAGCAGAUGUAGGAUUUCAUGGUAAUUGUGCUCAUUUGUGUUAGCUGCAUGUAUAUUAACACCCGGGAAUCUACAGUGUGGCUUUAUUUCAGGUGCCAUUCAUCUAUAUCCAGUCUUACUUCUUCUUCCUCAGAUUUCUCUAAGUCAAGAAUAGGCACUUAAAAAACCUAAUUAUUAGACGACAUAGGUGUUUAGGUUCUCAGAACAUACACAUUUACAGUUAUAGAGCUUUUCCUGAAGAAUCAGUUUGUAUUUUGUACAGUGUUACUAAAAAAAUUAAAAGAAAAAUGGCCAAAGAGAGGCCAAGACAACUACACAGUCCAUUCACUAUAAGGAAAUAUUCUCUUUUUGGGUGGUAAAAGGAGGAGACCAAAAAAUGUCUUAAAUUAACAGCUUAAAACCAGAAACAGGUUUUCAGAUUUGGUAUUGUUAUUAAAGGCUGAAAAACUUGCAUAAAGAAGACAUACCUGUUUUACAACAGUAUUGAAAUCUGCAUUUUGCAAUACAGCUGUGUUUAGGCCAAAACAAGGUAAUUUAACAAGUCUGGUUUUGUAGGCAAGCAAUAGUUUACAGCAAUAAAGAGUUGUUUGUAUCAUUCUAGCCACCUUUACAUAGUUUAUAUCAUUAGAGUCCUAAAUACUGGAAUUUAUUAGACAAACGGAACAAGCCAAAGUAAUUAGUCUUUCUGAAUUUCAACCGGGCAAGGCUACAACAAAGAGUGUAAACACCAUGACAAAAGCAGGGAUAUGCCCAAAAGUUAUAUAUGAUUGUGUUGUUCAGAGGAAAAUUCAAUGGUUCAGUCACCUAGACUAUCACUCCAGACAUUAGUGGUCGUUAUUAGGCACGGGAACAAAAUCAGCAUGACAGAAAACAAUGUGGAACAUUUUGCUCACAGAUGAACUGCAACACCCACUUGAAUUUCCAUGGAUGUAUUAUAAAGCAGGUUUCCCAAUCUAACACCAAAUAAGCAUACCCAAUGCAAUCUUCUGAUUCUGGUGACUCAUAUUGUCCUCUAAACAUGGGAAAAUGAUGUUUAAUCUGAAUCUCCAAGUUGCAUAUUAAAUACCUAGAAAAGAAAUAUCCACUAAGCCUGUAUGCUAAUACUUACAUACAAGCAAUAAGUACUUCAUCAGAUAAGUCAGAUGAUUGUUUUUUUCAGACACUGUGUCAGAUGUGGUGAAGAGAUAUGUACUACUUUCAAAUAGGUUCUCAUUUAAAAAGAUACAAUAGUGUAAUUCAGAUCUGAAACUUUUUCUUGAAAAUAAUUUUUUUAAAUUGCACAAAUUAGUGCCCUCAUGUUUUUGUAACCAGUCCAAUUUAUCACAGUUUUAUGUGGAUUCGAAUGUUCCUUUCACCAGAAUUUAUAAAUAAAUCUGUUGAGUUAGCAUGUAGAGGGAAAAAAGUGAAA